rnacentral:rRNA from 1 species
AUACGUAGGUGGCAAGCGUUGUCCGGAAUUAUUGGGCGUAAGGCGCGCGCAGGCGGUCCUUUAAGUCUGAUGUGAAAGCCCACGGCUCAACCGUGGAGGGUCAUUGGAAACUGGGGGACUUGAGUGCAGAAGAGGAAAGUGGAAUUCCAAGUGUAGCGGUGAAAUGCGUAGAGAUUUGGAGGAACACCAGUGGCGAAGGCGACUUUCUGGGCUGUAACUGACGCUGAGGCGCGAAAGCGUGGGGAGCAAACAGGAUUAGAUACCCUGGUAGUCCACGCCGUAAACGAUGAGUGCUAAGUGUUAGGGGGUUUCCGCCCCUUAGUGCUGCAGCUAACGCAUUAAGCACUCCGCCUGGGGAGUACGGUCGCAAGACUGAAACUCAAAUGAAUUGACGGGG